CGGUUCGGGGGUGUGACAAAUAUGUAAGUGCUUCUUCCAUUUAUUAGUUGGUACCUUGCAUAAUCUAGUGAAACCCUAUGAUUUCAUCCAUGAUUUCAUCUCUUUUGGGUAGAUCUUCAAAUCUUCAUCACUUACACCAAGAACACCUACUAGUUCUUGGACCGUGAACACCCCCUUCAAGCUUCAAAACAUAAGUAUCCUUCCAUAUACUAGUUAUCCUAUAGAAGCUCUUAACAUACACCCUUGAAAACAACCAUUUCCCAAGAACAAUAAGAGUUUACGGCCAUGAGCAUCUCCCUUGGCUGUAAACCCUCCUCAAGAUCUUCAUUGGCCGUGAACACCCUUGGCCGUGAACACCUUGGCUGUGAACCCCUUUAGUACAUUCACAUGUGAUUGUAACACUUCAUUCCAAGUGUUUCCUAGUCCCUAANAAGAUCUUCAUUGGCCGUGAACACCCUUGGCCGUGAACACCUUGGCUGUGAACCCCUUUAGUACAUUCACAUGUGAUUGUAACACUUCAUUCC
rnacentral:lncRNA from 1 species